AUUGAACGCUGGCGGCAUGCUUUACACAUGCAAGUCGAACGGCAGCGCGGGCUUCGGCCUGGCGGCGAGUGGCGAACGGGUGAGUAAUGCAUCGGAACGUGCCCAGUAGUGGGGGAUAGCCCGGCGAAAGCCGGAUUAAUACCGCAUACGACCUGAGGGUGAAAGCGGGGGACCGAAAGGCCUCGCGCUAUUGGAGCGGCCGAUGUCGGAUUAGCUAGUUGGUGGGGUAAAGGCUUACCAAGGCGACGAUCCGUAGCUGGUCUGAGAGGACGACCAGCCACACUGGGACUGAGACACGGCCCAGACUCCUACGGGAGGCAGCAGUGGGGAAUUUUGGACAAUGGGGGCAACCCUGAUCCAGCCAUGCCGCGUGCGGGAAGAAUGCCUUCGGGUUGUAAACCGCUUUUGUUCGGGAAGAAAUCCUCUGGGCUAAUACCCCGGGGGGAGGACGGUACCGGAAGAAUAAGCACCGGCUAACUACGU
rnacentral:rRNA from 1 species